rnacentral:misc_RNA from 1 species
GAUGAAGAACGCAGCGAAAUGCGAUAAGUAAUGUGAAUUGCAGAAUUCAGUGAAUCAUCGAAUCUUUGAACGCAUCUUGCGCUCCUUGGUAUUCUGAGGAGCAUGCCUGUUUGAGUGUCAUUAAAUUCUCAACUACACUGACUUUGAAUUGGUGUGGCUUGGAUUUGGGGGGAAAAUUGUUGUGGGCUGUUUGUAUAGUCUGCUCCCCUGAAAUUGAUUAGCGGUACCUUUGUGGAACUGUCUACAGGUGUGAUAAUUAUCUACAUCUUAGACAUCUGCUGGAAUGCUGCUUUCUAAACCUUACUUGUAUUGACAAUCUUGACCUCAAAUCAGGUAGGACUACCCGCUGAACUUAAGCAUAUCAAUAAGCGGAGGA